UACGUAGGGUGCAAGCGUUGUCCGGAAUUAUUGGGCGUAAAGAGCUCGUAGGCGGUUUGUCGCGUCGAAUGUGAAAUCCCGGGGCUCAACCCCGGGUCUGCAUUCGAUACGGGCAGGCUAGAGUUCGGUAGGGGAGUCUGGAAUUCCUGGUGUAGCGGUGAAAUGCGCAGAUAUCAGGAGGAACACCGGUGGCGAAGGCGGGUCUCUGGGCCGAUACUGACGCUGAGGAGCGAAAGCGUGGGGAGCGAACAGG
rnacentral:rRNA from 1 species